GCAGAUGAUUUUGACAGAACUGGGCAAACUGUGCGUGUGAAGGAAUGUGUGAUCCCUUCAGUUUUUACAUCCUCUCCAGACCAUCUGAACAAGGUUCCAAAUAAAGCCAGGUCAACUAGGACAUCAACACAAGCUGAUGAGGCAAGUGAUGAUCCUGUGUCUGAAUCUCCUGAACCGCAGAACUCCUCAACCUCAGUACUUAUCCAUGACUGGCUUCAUCAUAAGCAUCGACACCUUAGCCGUGAUGAUUCUAGAGCUGCUUCGGUGACAGAGUUAUGUCUGCACAUACCGCUUCAGCCAGGACCACUUAGAGCUCCUGUUCAAUUCCAUCAGGGCAUCAGGUAGGAAUUACAUUUCUGAAUACAUAAUGCUAUGUUGUAACUAAGAGGGAUAAGGGAAAAUGUUAUUAGAUGAUACAGUACAGAACUAUGUCACUUCAUGUGCAAAUUACAGGAGGGUGGAACAACAACCUGAGUUCAGUCCAGUUCCAGGGCAUUUCCGCCUUCUAAUGGUCCGCGGUGGGGUUCCUCCGGGGAACACUGGCAAUGUGACAGCCCAGGAUGAGACGGUGUCCUUGUCUGCUGUGAACAUGUCAUCUGUAGUGCCGGCUAAUGACUCAGACACGGCCUCCUCUCCAUUUGAGGACGUGGUCUGUAGUAUCAUCCUGGACCACAGUUACCUGCCAACUCACUUUGGAGGUCUGACGGAGAAUGCACUCGUGUACAUAUGAGGGUUUGUUGUACGACAGGUGAUGAAGCAGCUUCCGUGCGAUGUGUGCCGAAACAGUUUGGUGUCUGAUGCUGUACCAGCAUCAUUUUCAGAAAGCUACCACCUGUUGACCUUGAAGAACAAUGGAGGCAUGAUGAUUCCAUCUGUAGGCACUGUCAAGGUGAUCUGCUCAGCAGAGCGCACAUUCGACAAACCACCACCAUUACAUCAGCAGCUCAUCAAUGCAGCAUUUCCCUUGUCAACCACAUGGUCCGGUCCCACAUAGGUUCAGAGGAUGUGUUCAGUCAUGGUGACCAUAUAGUUGAAACUCAGGACAGCAUUAACAAUCACCACUUUUCCAUCCUGUCAUUAGUUGUCAGCACAUUCCACAAAUUGAGGCAGUACCACAUUGCCAAACUUGACACUCUGCAAUUGCAAAGUGAUAGCUUCUGAAAGAAGCUCUCUAAAGCGAUACUGUUUCAGGGAUACUAAUCCUUAUAACAAAAGGUUUCUAAGGUCACAUGUUCCUGUGCAUCAAAGCAUACAAUUAAAUAAGAAACACAGAUGCCUCACAAGAUAAAACAAAUCAAAAUACAAUAGUGAUAGUGAUGAUGAUAUGUGCAAUAAAUAAAUGCAAAACAGCAAGUGUAAAUGAUGACGUAUAAAACAAAGAAAUCUAAAUGAAAUAGAUAGUGAUGAUGAUAAAUGCAAUAGACAUUGAAACAGAGCAUAAAAAGAAAAGUGUAAAUGAUGAAGUGUGUGCGUGUGCGCGUGUGU